rnacentral:ncRNA from 1 species
GAAAACUUGGUCCCAAUUUCCCUUACUUUUUUAUCUAUAAUGAUACAUGCAAAGAAAUAUCUUCUCCAGCGGAAAAAUAUAAAAGUUUAAAAACUUAAUUAAAAUAAAAUAAAGAAAUCCUCUUAUUCUUUAAAUAUAUAAUUCCACAACAGCAGUACUAAAUAUUAAGCAAUUAGUAAAAACUAGACUUAAUAAUAGAAAUAAAUAUUGGUAAAAAUACGUGCCAGCCACCGCGGUUAUACGUAAAAUAUAAAAAGUAAAGAAACAUUCUUAGUGAAAAAUAAUUUAAUUAAAGUGUAUUAAAAAUAAAAUUCAACAGUCAAAUGUAUAAAAUAAAAUAAAAUAAAUUACAAAAGUAAAACACUAAAAAAAAUUCACGUAAGUUUAAAAACAAACCAGGAUUAGAAACCCUGCUAUGUUAAACCAUAAACCUAAAAAAGAACUACGAGCCAAAGCUUAAAACUUAAAGGACUUGGCGGUUUUUUAGAUCUCUCUAGAGGAGCCUGCUAUAUAAUCGAUAAUCCACGAAAAACCUUACCUUUUCUAGAAAAUCAGCUUGUAUAUCAUCAUCGUCAGCUCACCUUAAUAAAAGAAGUAAGCUAAAAAGAAACUCAAAAACGUUAGAUCAAGAUGCAGCCAAUGAAAAGAGAAAUAAGUGGGCUACAAUACUCAAAACGAAUAGCGAAAUUUUAAAUUCAUAAAAUAAAAGAAGAAGGAUUUAGUAGUAAGAAAAGUAAAUAAAAAUACUCUGAAAAAAGCUCUAAAACACGUACACACCGCCCGUCACUCUCUUUAACUAAAAGAGAAAAGUCGUAACAAGGUAAGAGUAGGGGAACCUGCUCUUGGAA